rnacentral:rRNA from 1 species
AUUGAACGCUGGCGGCAUGCCUUACACAUGCAAGUCGAACGGUAGCGGGCCUUCGGGUGCCGACGAGUGGCGAACGGGUGAGUAAUGUAUCGGAACGUACCUUUCAGUGGGGGAUAACGUAGCGAAAGUUACGCUAAUACCGCAUAUUCUGUGCGCAGGAAAGCAGGGGAUCGCAAGACCCUGCGCUGAUUGAGCGGCCGAUAUCAGAUUAGCUAGUUGGUGAGGGAAAGGCUCACCAAGGCGACGAUCUGUAGCGGGUCUGAGAGGAUGAUCCGCCACACUGGAACUGAGACACGGUCCAGACUCCUACGGGAGGCAGCAGUGGGGAAUUUUGGACAAUGGGGGCAACCCUGAUCCAGCCAUGCCGCGUGAGUGAAGAAGGCCUUCGGGUUGUAAAGCUCUUUCGGCCGGGAAGAAAUCGUAUCAGCUAAUACCUGGUGCGGAUGACGGUACCGGCAUAAGAAGCACCGGCUAACUACGUGCCAGCCGCCGCCGUAAUAC